rnacentral:rRNA from 1 species
UACAGAGGGUGCGAGCGUUAAUCGGAAUUACUGGGCGUAAAGCGUGCGUAGACGGUUAUUUAAGUCGGGUGUGAAAGCCCCGGGCUCAACCUGGGAAUUGCAUUCGAGACUGAAUAGCUAGGGUACGGUAGAGGGAAGUGGAAUUUCCGGUGUAGCGGUGAAAUGCGUAGAUAUCCUAAGGAACACCGGUGGCGAAAGCGGCUUACUGGAUCUCUUCUGACGCUGAGGCACGAAAGCUAGGGUAGCGAACGGG